rnacentral:rRNA from 1 species
GGGUCAGCAAGUUGGCCGUGCCACUGGUAUGUACUGGCUUUACUGAUUCCUCCUUCUUGCAGAACCGUAAUGCCAUUAAUUUGGUGUUGCGGGGAAACAGGACUGUUACUUUGAAAAAAUUAGAGUGUUUAAAGCAGGCUAACGCUUGAAUACAUUAGCAUGGAAUAAUGAAAUAGGACGUUCGAUCCUAUUUUGUUGGUUUCUAGGAUUGACGUAAUGAUUAAUAGGGAUAGUUGGGCU